rnacentral:rRNA from 1 species
ACGAGUUUGAUCCUGGCUCAGAUUGAACGCUGGCGGCAGGCUUAACACAUGCAAGUCGAGCGGAGACUUCGGUCUUAGUGGCGAACGGGUGAGUAAUACCUAGGAAUCUGCCUAUUAGUGGGGGAUAACGAAUCGAAAGGUUCGCUAAUACCGCAUACGUCCUACGGGAGAAAGGGGGGGAUCUUCGGACCUCUCGCUAAUAGAUGAGCCUAGGCCGGAUUAGCUAGUUGGUAGGGUAAAGGCCUACCAAGGCGACGAUCUGUAGCUGGUCUGAGAGGAUGGCCAGCCACACUGGAACUGAGACACGGUCCAGACUCCUACGGGAGGCAGCAGUGGGGAAUAUUGGACAAUGGGGGCAACCCUGAUCCAGCCAUGCCGCGUGUGUGAAGAAGGCCUUCGGGUUGUAAAGCACUUUAAGCGAGGAGGAAGGUUUUUAGUUUAAUACACUAAAGAAUUGACGUUACUCGCAGAAUAAGCACCGGUUAACUCUGUG